rnacentral:rRNA from 1 species
UACGAAGGGGGCUAGCGUUGUUCGGAUUUACUGGGCGUAAAGCGCACGUAGGCGGAUCGUUAAGUCGGGGGUGAAAUCCUGGAGCUCAACUCCAGAACUGCCUUCGAUACUGCAUGGCUUGAGACCGGAAGAGGUAAGUGGAACUGCGAGUGUAGAGGUGAAAUUCGUAGAUAUUCGCAAGAACACCAGUGGCGAAGGCGGCUUACUGGUCCGGUUCUGACGCUGAGGCGCGAAAGCGUGGGGAGCAAACGGG